rnacentral:lncRNA from 1 species
UUAGGGAAGGAGGUGUGUUGAUGUGUGUGUACGUGUGUUUUGGAUGGGGAAGGAGGUGUGUUGCUGUGUGUGUAUGUGUGUGUUAGAUGAGGGAAGGAGGUGUGUUGAUGUGUGUGUACGUGUGUGGUGGAUGGGGGAAGGAGGUGUGUUGCUGCCUGUAUACGUGUGUGUUGGAUAGGGGAAGAAGGUGUGUUGAUAUGUGCGUAUGUGUGUGUUGGGUGAGGGAAGGAGGUGUGUUGCUGUGUGUGUACGUGUGUGUUGGGUGAGGGAAGGAGGUGUGUUGCUGUGUGUGUACGUGUGUGUUUGGUGAGGGAAGGAGGUGUGUUGCUGUUUGUGUAAGUGUGUGUUGGAUGGGGGAAGGAGGUGUGUUCCUGUGUCUGUAAGUGUGUGUUGGAUGAGGGAAGGAGGUGUAUUGAUGUGUUUGUACGUGUGUGUUGGAUGGAGGAAGAAGGUGUUUUGUUGUUGGUGUCAGUGUGUGUUGGAUGGGGGAAGGAGGUGUGUUCCUGCGUCUGUAAGUGUGUGUUGGAUGGGGGAAGGAGGUGUAUUGAUGUGUUUAUACGUGUGUGUUGGAUGGAGGAAGAAGGUGUGUUGCUGUGUGUGUACGUGUGUUUUGGAUGGGGGAAGGAGGUGUGUUGCUGCGUCUGUAAGUGUGUGUUGGAUGAGGGAAGGAGGUGUUUUCCUGUGUGUGUACGUGUGUGUUGAGUGAGGGAAGGAGGUGUGUUGCUGUGUGUGUACGUGUGUGUUGGAUGAGGGAAGGAUGUGUGUUGCUGUGUAUGUAUGAGUGUGUUGGAUGGGGGAAGGAGGUGUGUUGCUAUGUGUACGUGUGCGUUAGAUCGGGAAAGGAGGUGUGUUAAGCACUGUGUGUGUACGUGUGUGUUGGCUGAGGGAAGGAGGUGUGUUGCUAUGUGUACGUGUGUUUUGGAUGAGGGAAGGAGGUGUGUUGCUGUGUGUGUACGUGUGUGUUGGAUGAGGGAAGGACGUGUGUCGCUGUGUGUGUACGUGUGUGUUGCAUGGGGGAAGGAGGUGUGUUGCUAUGUGUACGUGUGCGUUAGAUCGGGAAAGGAGGUGUGUUAAGCACUGUGUGUGUAUGU